rnacentral:rRNA from 1 species
UGGGGAAUCUUCCGCAAUGGGCGCAAGCCUGACGGAGCAACGCCGCGUGAGUGAUGACGUCCUUCGGGUCGUAAAACUCUGUCUUGGGGGAAGAAACAAAUGACGGUACCCCAGAAGGAAGCCCCGACCAACUACGUUCCAGCAGCCGCGGUAAAACGCACGGGGCUAGCGUUUUCCGGAAUUACUGGGCGUAAAGGGCGUGUAGGCGGCCUACGUAGUCAGGGGUGAAAUACCGCAGCUCAAAGGCGGGCCUGCCUCUGAA